rnacentral:rRNA from 1 species
UACGUAGGAGGCAAGCGUUGUCCGGAAUUACUGGGCGUAAAGCGCGUGUAGGUGGUGGGACAAGUCUGCUGUGAAAGCGCCUGGCUUAACCGGGCGAGGUCGGCGGAAACUGUCCGACUCGAGGACGGUAGAGGGGGGUGGAAUUCCCGGUGUAGUGGUGAAAUGCGUAGAGAUCGGGAGGAACACCUGUGGCGAAGGCGGCCCCCUGGGCCGGCCCUGACACUGAGGAGCGAAAGCGUGGGGAGCGAACAGG